AUAACUUACGGGAAACCGGAGCUAAUACGAUAAUAUAUUGAACCGCAUGGUUCAAUAGUGAAAGACGGUUUUGCUGUCACUUAUAGAUGGAUCCGCGCCGCAUUAGCUAGUUGGUAAGGUAACGGCUUACCAAGGCAGCGAUGCGUAGCCGACCUGAGAGGGUGAUCGGCCACACUGGAACUGAGACACGGUCCAGACUCCUACGGGAGGCAGCCAGUA
rnacentral:rRNA from 1 species